AAAUAGAUGAGAACUCCGGGUUUCCUUGAAACUAACGUUUUUGAAGCCGGGGGCUCGGGAUCAGAGUGCCAAGUGGGCCAAUUUUGGUAAGCAGAACUGGCGCUGUGGGAUGAACCAAACGUCGAGUUAAGGCGCCUAAAUCGUCGCUCAUGUGAAACCAUGAAAGGCGUUGGUUGCUUAAGACAGCAGGACGGUGGCCAUGGAAGUCGGAAUCCGCUAAGGAGUGUGUAACAACUCACCUGCCGAAGCAACUAGCCCUGAAAAUGGAUGGCGCUGUAGCGACGUUGCCUAUACUCGACCGUCAACGGCAAAGGUGGCUGGGCGGGCAACCGUCCGGCCGUUACGCCUUGACGAGUAGGAGGGCCGCGGCGACGUGCGCAGAAGGGUCUGGGCGCGAGCCUGCCUGGAGCCGUCGUCGGUGCAGAUCUUGGUGGUAGUAGCAAAUACUCCAGCGAGGCCCUGGAGGACUGAUGUGGAGAAGGGUUUCUUGUGAACAGCUGUUGCACAAGAGUCAGUCGGUCCUAAGCCCUAGGAGAAAUCCGAAGCGAUGGGUUGCCGUUAACCACUGUGUGAAGGCACCCGUUCGGGCGAAAGGGAAUCCGGUUCCUAUUCCGGAACCUGGCAGUGGAACCGUUCCAAUUCGGGCCCUCUGAGGACUCGUCAGGGCAACCUGAAUAGACCCGGAGACGCCGACAGGAGGUUGGGGGAGAGUUGUCUCUUCUCUAUAAGCGAUCGAGUUCCCUGGAAACUUCUAGCAAGGAGAUAGGGUUUGGAUCGCGAAGAGCACUGCAGUUACGGCAGUGUCCCAAUCUUCCUCUCGGACCUUGAAAAUCCGGGUGAGGGCCACGAGGAACCCCACGCCAGACCGUACCCAUAUCCGCAGCAGGUCUCCAAGGUGCAAAGCCUCUAGUCGAUAGAAUAUGAGGGG
rnacentral:rRNA from 1 species